AUUGAACGCUGGCGGCAUGCCUUACACAUGCAAGUCGAACGGCAGCACGGGAGCAAUCCUGGUGGCGAGUGGCGAACGGGUGAGUAAAGUAUCGGAACGUGCCCAGUCGUGGGGGAUAACGUAGCGAAAGUUACGCUAAUACCGCAUACGAUCUACGGAUGAAAGCGGGGGAUCGCAAGACCUCGCGCGAUUGGAGCGGCCGAUAUCAGAUUAGGUAGUUGGUGGGGUAAAGGCUCACCAAGCCGACGGUCUGUAGCUGGUCUGAGAGGACGACCAGCCACACUGGGACUGAGACACGGCCCAGACUCCUACGGGAGGCAGCAGUGGGGAAUUUUGGACAAUGGGCGAAAGCCUGAUCCAGCCAUGCCGCGUGCAGGAUGAAGGCCUUCGGGUUGUAAACUGCUUUUGUACGGAACGAAAAGGUUUGGCCUAAUAAGCUGAGCUCAUGACGGUACCGUAAGAAUAAGCACCGGCUAACUACGUGCCAGCAGCCGCGGUAA
rnacentral:rRNA from 1 species